AAGAAAACAGAACUCCGUUACUGGGUCUGUCAAAGUCACGUGCUUCCCUCCCCCCACUUACGCCCUUUCGCGCCCGCCCGCACGGGAUCCGCCGGGGUCCGAGCGCUCGGAGACGCACAACCAUCAGAGGGCACCGCCGCGCCCCCAAGAGCGCAGGCGGACAAACGGCCUCCAGGGCGCCAGGGUCUGGUCCCAAGACUGAGUCUUGGCACUCCCGGGCCUCAAGACCUUGCCAGGCUUCCAGGAUAGUGCAGUGGUCAGCGCGCGAGGAGCUUCCAGGCCACCUUCCUAUAUGAUGUUUGUCAAAACCAGAGGGAAAAGCCAAUAAACUGAGCAUGAUGGAGCAGAAAGAAAGACAGCACUAAUCUUGGAGAUGGCUUCAUCACUUUAGUCUUAUAAUGACAACGACACACAUCUAUGUGACCCCCAGCGUCGACUCUCACCACCCCUACCUGCGCACAUAUUCUCAGAUGGAGCCACACUCAAAUAAUUUUUUGACAGUAUCAAGAAGUACAUAAGCUACAACAAACAAAUCUGUACAGUUGGGAGGAACGAUAAUAGAAGGAACCAAGCAGAACCGUUCUGACCCCCGUGUGCCGAUGGAGUCCAUCCCCGUAGCCCUUGGGAUUUUCCAGGAUGUCGGCUGCACCGCCCUCCCCGCCUUCAGCUCACUUAUCACACAGUAAUGCUCUUCUGGUCACUCCAAAACAAGACUGGGGCCAGUGUCUAUGAGACACAGCAGCCGACCUGGCAGUCCACUGCGGUCCAGGAAAUUCUGUCACUUGUUUGGAAAACAGAUCAAGUGUAAGAAAUGGUUUUAUUUCUUUAGCCUUAUCAGCUUUAGAUGGGGCUGGGGCCAUUCAGUUCAUUUCCCUGGUGGCUUAAAACAGAACAUCUUCGUUUUCUAUUAAAAUCUGCACAAUCAGCUUUUGGUACCGCAUGUCAUGGAGGGUGGUGAGGGUGCUGUCCUCAGGGGGCCUCAUCAGAGUGGGCCCGAACACGAUCCCCAGAUUUUCAGCAUUCAUUAAAUUGUCCUUUUCAUUCAGAGUCACCCUGCAAGACAAACAUACACAGAGACCUUACACGGGCUUGCUGGUGGAUUGGUGUACUGAUUAUGUACCCCAAGAACGUCUCCGGUUUGGGAAUUUUCCAAAGAAAACUGAGAAUUAGUAUUACAGAAAAGUAUUUUUUAAAAGGUAAUUUUCUGAUUUUUUUUUUUUAUUAGACUGUUGGCAUAGCUUUCAGCCAGGGGACGUGAACUGCUAAGUGAAUCUGGUAUAGGCAGAGUUUUCAAAAUUAUAAAAUCAAUCCUUCUCACUAAAUAAAUGUGGAACUCUCACUCAGGGAACAUCAUUGGUUUGAAGGGGCAGUAGAUUAUUAGGUGGUCCAGAGUGCAUUCAGAUUUUAGUCUAGGCUUGUAUGCAAGUUUUUUUUUUUUUUCCUCCCUCCUGUCGCUUUCUGCUGGUCUGUAUGCUGACAAGCCGGGAGGCAGAGGGCAGAUUCCCUGUCUGCUGGCAGGGCUAGUGCCCGAGGAGAAAGGUCACGUGGAAGAUGGGGCUGCUACGAGUUUAGGAAUAGCCAAGCCAUCAUCACGGGACUGGGGAAUAGCUGGAAUGUGGCCAAAGGGGAAAGCAGUUGACAUUACUUCUAGUUCCCACGGGAUGAGGUCUGGAGCAGUAAUUAUUGUUGGAAUUCAAAAAUCAUCAUUUCAACAUCCAGAUAAGAACUGCAAAGCCUUUAAGAAUGAACUUCAAAGUUGGCUUAAUACCUUUCUAGUAGAAUAAAAAGAUAAUCUCCCAGAUUCUUGCUUGAAGGAAUUUAGGUUCUAGGAUGUUCAAAACAGAUCUAAAAGGGAGUACCUUCUCCAAAGAAGAACAAAAUAGGACUAACAUAUGUUUAGGUUUUGCACAGGAGAUCAUCCCUUCGUGUCUAUUCUCUCGAAGCUAAUUAAGACUAGCCAUUUAGCAUUAUUGCAGGAAGGUCAGCUCAACUUGCAUGAUUUUCAUGUUGCAAAGCUAAGAGGGAGGUAGAAAGAGGACAUUCUUUGCUAUCAAACUGGUCACAACCUCUCAUUAAGUCAGGCACCACACCUGACCAACUAAGAUGGUGAGCAAGCCCUCCAUAAUAAAAAUACUAAGUAAUCGGCAUUUAAGAUUCAACUGGGACAUGUUAGCAUUUUGCCUGAAAACGUUACUUUGCCUUCCAAAGUAUAACAAUUGGACACCAAAAGAAAUAAAGCUAAUUAAAAGC